UCUCUUAAAGUAAUAACCUAGUUGAAUGAAGUGAUAAAACUAUUUGAAUGAAGUAGUGAUCUAGUCACACUCAAUAACUUCGCUGCCUCCCUCCUCUAUAUUUAUGUUGCUGCUGCUUCGUCAUCAUCAACACACUCAAUAACUUCGCUGCCUCUGCCGCAUUACUGCUGCAUUUUACUGACUUUUCCCUCAGAGAGGAGGAGGUUCUGGAAGUAGAUCGAGAAGAUGUUUAAAUCGAUAAGAAUGAAUGUUGUGGUUUGCAGCACUCUGUUGCUGCUGCUUUUUUCGCAGCAUCAGCCAACGUACAGAAAACCAGCCCCGCGCCAGCGACUCUGACUACGACUCCGGUGCCAGCACCGGCUACCGAUUGUUAGCACCAGUGACUACGGCGAUGGCGACGGAGGGGAUGUCCUUCCAGAGAGACAUGCUGAAGGCGAAAGGGGAAUUGGGGGAUGGUGAGAAAGAAUUGUAGAGAGAGAAGUGGGUUAGAUUUGGGAAGAGAGGAAGAACGGCAUAUUCCGGAAAUACCCUUUUACCUAUUUAAUUAAAUAAAAAAAUCAGAUAAUGUAUAACUAUUAAUAAUCAUUAGAUGUGAUUAAUGAGUGGAUGAGAUUUGGUA